rnacentral:lncRNA from 1 species
CUAUGAUUUUAGGAUUCUAUUCUGAUCUCUACCUUUACAAAAAAAAAAAAUCCUACAUCUGAGAAUUGCAUAUUGGGAGUUAAGAUGAUGUAAUAAAGGACACUACUCAUCUGAACAUUCCACAUACACACACAUAUACAAGAAGAAAAACUGCCUCAAAACAAAGCAAGAAGAAUAUGCUUCACUGGGGUAAUAAGAGAGAGUAGUCCAGGGGUACAGCCUUUAUGGGAACCAACAUAACAUAGACUGCCAGAAUGGAUGCUGGACCAGUCAGAGUAUGGGAAGAGUAGAGAAGCAGUCGAGGAUAACUGUCAUCAUCUUCUUCCUCUUUUCCUACUCACCAACCACUGAAUAAUGGUAAGUCCCACAACUCUUCAGAUUAGAUACAUUUAUUAAGUGAUCUCUAAAAUUCAUGUUUUCCAUUGUCAAUAGAGCUGUCAGUACAGUAAGGGAGUCAUUUUAUUCCUCCUAAAAGGAUUUCCUUUUUCAUUCCCUAAAGUACCUAUGACAAACUUCUUCCUUUAUCACUUCCUCCCCUCCCCUUUGCCAAGAU